AAACAGCCCCCUAUAUUUUGAUUCUUUGGCAGUUUUGGCCUUCCAAAGCAAAAUAAAAAUAAAAAAUUUGACACGUGGCACCUCACUUAAGGUGCCACGUCAGCGUUAACCGAGUCAACACUGGAUUGGAUGUUCAAAAUUGCCAAAUAAUCAAAAUAUAGGGGGCUGUUU
rnacentral:pre_miRNA from 1 species